CUUUGAUUGGUCAAAGGCCCAAAAUGGACGGCUAGAAGUGCGCUAACAACAACAGAAGCCUUUUACGUCUUGAAAACGAGAUUCAAAUGUCAUUCAAUGUUGGAUUUAUCAUCAUGGACGUGUUGUACAAAGUCUCCGGAAGGACCCCGAAGUUCCAGGCCGCGCUACGAACCUUCGGGAGCCCUGCCUCGCUUCCCAUCAAGACAAACCGUCUACUUGCUCCUGAUUGGCGAGAUGGGUGACUAACAGCGUGAUGUGGAGCGUUGGGACGGGAAUCAUGGCUUUGGCCAAUUGGGGCUCCUGCUGAAGCACUGCCUCUUGCACCUCAGUCACAGCUGAGCUUAUCUGUCAUUGGAAAAAAUUACUUUCAUUCAUCAGAUGUUUAAAUGAGACAGAUACGGUCAAAUAUGGUAACUGCUUGUUCCCACUCUAUUCCCUCUACUGUUGCUGACCAAUGAGGAGACAGCAGGGUCGGUGUCCGGGUGAUAAUAACACAAAGUGGUAGCAGCUUAAACAAGGAUUGAUUUAAUUGGCUUGAAGAAUGUAGAAAUUAGACAAAGGAUCAUACUGAUGUUUAUAUAUAUUCAAGCAAAUUUUCUUAAGUAUUUAUCUGUUUUAAUCAUUGCCAACGGAUGUCCAUGUAAGCUGAAACAAGUGAUCAAACAAAAAGUGAAUCAACUGAAAAUUAGAUGGCAACUUUUUUGAUAGUAAUUUGUAAUACCCAGGAUGAAAUGUGUGCGGACUCCAGCAUGAUUUCUAAGGACAAAAGUAUGUAAAAGUAAAUACAGUCAUUCCUUACCUGUGUGUUAGUUAUAGGGAUGGAGACAAAGUAGUUGGGCCGUUGAUUCUCUUUCUUCUUUUUCUUCUUGUCUCCGUCCUCCUCACUGUCCACUCGCCCUCCACUGUCUCCUCUCUUCCUCUUCCUCUUCUCCUGCGUUGACUCUGGGUUGGGGACUACAGAGGAUAAACAUUCAUUGUAACUGAAAUCAUGGUCAGCCAGUCAGGUAAUAAACAGCAGCACAAAUUUUGUUAGUCCGUAAAUCUGACCUGCUAGUCUUUUGCCUUCAACAGGUAAAAAAAAUAAAAUCCAAAAGUUUCAUUCAAAGACAAUAAGAAAAUAAAAUUAACAAUGUACAUACAUCCUAGCUGCUUCCAUGUGGAGGGACUGGUCAGAGCAAAUGGGAGCUCGGACAUUAAAUUGUCCAAACUGUGGUCUGACUUGAGCUUUUUCUUUAUCAAUUUCCUCCUGUCCCUCUUCAUCUUCCUCUUUGCCUUCUUCUCAUUUGGUUCUGUGUAAAAAAAAAAUCAUUACUAGGCAACAAGUACAAAUACUGUAAAUGAAUGAGCAUGGAUAUAAAAACAUGCUCAGACACAUGGGAUACAUGUGAUGAUGAUGGGUAUGAUUCAAAUAAUCUUCUAUUGCACAACUCAGUAGCCAAUCCCGUAAAAUAUUACUUGGUAUUUUCACCAAGAAAAAACACUGAUGUAUUGGACUUUUGACUAUUUUUGCAUUCAAGUCUAGUUAGUUGUUUUUUUGGUAGUUUCAAUUGACCCUCCACAAAAUUUGAUGACUUACACAUCAACAUAAUAUUGUGAUAUAUAAAUACAUGUACCAUCACGACAGAGGAUUGGAGGGGAAGAACAGAUGCUUGAGUGCAGGUUGAUCCCAUGAUGUUGAAUCUCUAUUCACAGAUGGUCUGGUCCUCCAGAUAUAUUACGGAGCUACUGUACUAAUUCCCUAUGCUCCUAAGUCAAGGCAAGAUAAGUGCCAUAGAAAUAUCUGUUUUAUUUUUUUAUUAUUAUUAUGAUUAUAUUAAGAGGAUAAGUAAGACUUAGGACAUGCAAUUUUGUACCAUGUAGAGAAGCAUAAUAAACAUGUUCAACUAC